GGUUCCAUAGUGUAGUUGGUUAUCACAUGGGGUUUUGAUCCCCGCAACCCGAGUUCGAAUCUCGGUGGGACCU
rnacentral:tRNA from 1 species